ACCAGUAGCGUUGUUUUGUUGUACGUUAAAUCAGCGACUUGUGAAGAGUUGUGUUUUGUCGUGUUUGAGCAGUUGGUCCUGACGCGUUAGCUAGCUAAGCGGCUAAGUUAGCUAGCGGGCUAAUUAACAUAGGUGGCUAACUUACCGCUGAACACCUGUGUUAGUUGCUGUCGCUGCUGUCCGUCAUUAUUAGGAUGACCUUCUCAACCUGUAUUUCUCUGCUGUGUAUUUUAGCUUUUAAAAAAGUUAUUUUACUUUAAGGUUAACUGAAACCCGUUCAGCUGCACUGAAGUUUAACAUUCAGCUGGUUUGAAUUAAACCACGCUUAACAUUGUGCAGCAUUACCUCUCUGAAUCUCCAUAAUUUCAUUAAAUUCCUUCUCUCUUCCACUGCUCAAGUUCAAUCCAGUAUAUAAAGUGACAUUAAUAGUGAAUAAACUAACAACCAGCCAUUGUAUUUAUUUAUUAUUGCAUGUAUUUGCAGUAAAACAUGAGUUGAAACAUCCUACUUUUGGAUCUAGAACUGCACAAGCCGUUCAUUUUCAGUCACCUGACGAGUUAAACUCCCCCUUUUAUGUGAGGUUGAAGCAGAAAGUCUGAGUUAACAAAGAAAGUUGUUUAUAAUUUGCGAUACCUGUCAUCUCUGACUGAGGCUUUAGUUUUUGUUGAGCUGAUUUACAUGUAGAAACUUUGUUCAGGAAGAUUUCUCAGUAGCUCAGAGGACAGGCUGCUUUUUACACAACCUUGUAAGAGAAUGUCUGUCAAUGCUUUCAGCAGAAUUUAGAAACACAACACUUCCUAAACAGAUAUUUUGAGGCUGUGAGGCUGAAAGUUUGAGAGUAUAUCAGUGUGUUUGUUUGUGAUCUUUCUGUUUCUAAGUGGAAGCUGAAUUAGUGAGGAUGACUCCUGCUCCUGUCAUCUCUAAGCUCCUCACACAUCUUUACCUGCACAUGAGGAAAAUCACUCCUGUAGAAUGCAGUGGUUCAUCAGAACCUCUGGGGAUGUCCUGUGGAUUCUGUGGAUCCUGUGGGUUGCAGGGUGGGUCCUACCUAGACCAGGCUGAUCCUGGACCAUCCCACAGAUGCUCCAUCAGAUCUGGAUGUGGGGAGUGUGGAACCCAGAUGUUCAGAGGGAGAUGAUGCCACAUCUGGUCCAGCUGAUGGAAGGUCUUGAAGUUCUCUGACUGGCCUCGACUGAAGAUGGUCGUCUCACUGGAUUUAAGGUUCAGAUGCUCAGUAACAAACUCCACCAAUGAGCCAACAGGGAAGCUUUAGGUUUAUUAAAUGUUGCUAUGAAGGUAUCGCUGUUUUUCUUUGUGAAUGCAAUGUGCUCCAACUGAAAGCUUGAAUUAGAACUUAGAAGUAAAUCCUUCCAUCUGAAAGGAUUUAGUUGCAUUAAUAACCUCAUAACAUUCUAAUUUUUAUUCCAGUCUUGGUUGGAAAUAGAAUCUCUGUAUUGAUUCAGGUAAAAACUGAACUUCACAGCAUGUUGGAGCAAAACAACCAGAUGAAAACUGUGAUGGUGUUGGAUUGUCAGACCGUAAUGUUGCAGCUCAAAGCAGCUUUUCUAGCUCAGUUCAUUCUGACAUUCAGCUAUGAAUCAACACAGCAGAUGGUGAUCCAUGCUGUGGAAGUCUCACAUCUCCUGAUUUAAUGGAGCUGCUUUGCACUUUUUACACUGUUUAUUCACCAACACUUUAUUUAAUAAAAGUCCCAUCUAGUUUUUAUGAGGAAUGUGAUGUUUUAAUUUCUCUGUGAAUAACUGCAGUCUAAUGCAACAGCUGGAGUUGUAACAUCUGUCCUGAUAUUGAUCAUGAAGUAUUGAUCAGAAUACUUAUGGUUAGCAGUCAUCCCUGAAGUUUUACAUUAAAAUCUUUACUUGUGUUGUGAACUUUGGUAAGAAGCAGAAACUUUAGCGUUGCCAUGGAUACAUGAGUGUUAAAUUCUGUCCAUGUUUCCAUUUUGGGAAAUGCAGUCCAGUUCCAGAAUGUGGAGGAAUUUAGUCUCACAAUCACAGACAACAAAUAUUAUCUGAAAGUCGGGUUAUUGUUGUUUAUCAGCACAAUACAAAAGAUUAUGUUAGAAAUAUUCCAGUUAAGACUCUAGAAUAUCAUGAUUUAUGUAAAUUUACCUCAAUAAUAUGAAUGUUCAGGUUAAGAUUGUACAGUGAUAUUUAUUAUGUAAGUUUAGCUGAUUAAAGUUUAUGACUCUGCACUAAAAUAUUAUUUAAAUUGACAUCAUUAUUAUAAUAUUUAGGGUCAGACCCUACAGUAUUGAGAUUAAGAAAUCAAAUAUUCUAUAAAAUGUAAAUACACUGAACUCAUUUGGAUAUAUUUAAGUGAGACUCUACAAUAUUAUUUGACACAAAUCUAUCUAAAUCAAAAUUUUAAUAAUUUUCAUGCCAAACAUUUACUGGACUGAUUUAAAUAUUAAAAUCACUCCUUUCUAAUCCUCUGCUGUACGUUCAAACCUGAGGCCUUAAAUAGAAACACACAAGUAUCUGAUUGAAGGAACUUCUGCAGAGUCCUGGUUCCAGAACAUGAUGAUAGAAUUAUAGACAAACUUUAACAAAAGCUGCCUGAGAGUUUACAGGUUUUUAUGUUGGAUUUCUUCAGUAAUUUAAUGAGUUAUCAGCAAUAAUCAAGUGUUCAUUUGAUGAACUUCAUUUCCUAAAACAUCCAGAAUUGGAGCUCAUAUCUUUGGCAGCUGUAAAGUUUCUGCUCCUUCAAAGUUCACAACACAAUGAAUGAAUUCCUAAAACACUCUCAAUGCUGGAGAGCGUUUGAUGCUGAAGCAGUGAGCAGUUUUUCUGUUUCUUCUCUGGAGAUGCACAAUGAGGGACGUCUGCAGAGAAUGAGAAAGAGUCUCACCACAUCCUGACAUGAGGAAAAAGACUUUAUUGAAGACUACAAUGAGAAAAACUAUCAGACAGCAGACGGCUGCAUUCAAGCUGAGCUCUGAACAUUUGAUCUGGAACAGGAAUUCAAUAACGGCAGCAUGAGCUUCAUUUCAGUCUGUAGCUGCUGAAUUCAUGGAUGAAUCAUCUGGCACUAGAGAAGAAGACCAUCAAACAUCCAUGUCAGCUGAUGGAGGUCCAAGAGUCUCACCAAACAAACAACCUACAGAGUGAAGACCUUGAAUCUGAUUGGACGGCCUCCUAUUCAGCCACGUGUGAACAAAUGCCUCUAAGCUGAUUUGUUUUCUAAAAUAAAUCUAGUUUGAGUCCUAAUCUA